GAAAAGCCCGAGCCCUCCCCCUUCCCUUUCCCCACCCCCUCAUAGCCCGGCCGGAGCCAAGCUCAAGCUGUCUUCUGUAACGCAACUAUUUUGGAAGAGAGGAAGCUACCAAAAAAAGAUCAACUUCCUGAAGGCUGUUGCUACAGUUUCCUAAUCCAGGACUGCUUUUUACCUGCCUGCCUACUCAGCACAUCAACAGGAUUUUUUUUGUAAAAUGCUAGUUAAUGUACAUUUGGUGGAGCGUAUUACAUAUAUUUAGUCUUAGGUGUUUGAAAAUAUAUGAAGAACCAAUCAUACAGAUAAAUUAGGGUUCUACUUCAACAUCAAAUCAAGACCACCAGGUUCUUGCAAAUCCACACAAUGAAGAAACCAAAAAGAUUGCAGCGCACAUGGUUGUAACGGCCUCUCUGGCACCAAUAAAUAGUGAAAUUUCUUGUCCUAUUCAUCUUUCCCAUGAUCAAAAAACACCACUGAUCAUAAAGAACAAUAAAAUCUCCAAAUCUACCUCAUUAGCAAGCAGGAAAUGAAAGUGCUGCACAGUUACAGCUUAAUGCGUGGAGUGGGUCCUCGCUCCAUACCACAGUCAAUUUCUCGAACUUCCAGUAAUGCCCCCCCUUCACCAUUCCCCAUUCACAUUUCCUUCUCUCACUUUACCUCCUUACCUCUAUCUGGUGCUCCUCCCUUUUUUCUUUCUUCCACGUCCUCUCCUAUCAGAUUCCCCCUUCUCCAGCCCUAUAUCUCUUUCACCCAUCAACUUCUCAGCUUUUUACUUCACCCCUCUACUGUGCCCAGUUUCACCUAUCACCUUGUGUUUCUUCUUCCCCUCCCUCCAUCCUCUUACUCUGACUCCUCAUCUUUUUUUCCUCCAGUCCUGAUGGAGGGUCUCGGCCCGAAAUGUGGACUGUACUCUUUUCCAUAGACACUGCCUGGCCUGCUGAGUUC